UAAAUAGCCAGGCCGGCUCCGGCCGGUCGCGGGCUUCUUAGAGGGACUGUCGGCGUCUAGCCGACGGAAGUUUGAGGCAAUAACAGGUCUGUGAUGCCCUUAGAUGUUCUGGGCCGCACGCGCGCUACACUGACAGGGCCAGCGAGUACACGUCCUUGGCCGGAAGGCCCG
rnacentral:rRNA from 1 species